AGUGAACGCUGGCGGUAGGCCUAACACAUGCAAGUCGAACGGCAGCACAGUAAGAGCUUGCUCUUACGGGUGGCGAGUGGCGGACGGGUGAGGAAUACAUCGGAAUCUACUUUUUCGUGGGGGAUAACGUAGGGAAACUUAUGCUAAUACCGCAUACGACCUACGGGUGAAAGCAGGGGAUCUUCGGACCUUGCGCGAUUGAAUGAGCCGAUGUCGGAUUAGCUAGUUGGCGGGGUAAAGGCCCACCAAGGCGACGAUCCGUAGCUGGUCUGAGAGGAUGAUCAGCCACACUGGAACUGAGACACGGUCCAGACUCCUACGGGAGGCAGCAGUGGGGAAUAUUGGACAAUGGGCGCAAGCCUGAUCCAGCCAUACCGCGUGGGUGAAGAAGGCCUUCGGGUUGUAAAGCCCUUUUGUUGGGAAAGAAAAGCAGCAGGUUAAUACCCCGCCGUUCUGACGGUACCCAAAGAAUAAGCACCGGCUAACUUCGUG
rnacentral:rRNA from 1 species